CCUACGGGAGGCAGCAGUGAGGAAUAUUGGUCAAUGGGCGGAAGCCUGAACCAGCCAAGUAGCGUGCGGGAUGAAGGCCCUACGGGUCGUAAACCGCUUUUGCACGGGGAUAACACCCUCCACUUGUGGAGGUCUGCAGGUACCGUGCGAAUAAGGGCCGGCUAAUUCCGUGCCAGCAGCCGCGGUAAUACGGAAGGCCCGAGCGUUAUCCGGAUUCAUUGGGUUUAAAGGGAGCGUAGGCGGGCGUUCAAGUCAGCGGUAAAAUCGCGCGGCUCAACCGCGCCCCGCAGUUGAAACUGGACGCAUUGAGUUCACAACAGGCAGGCGGAAUGCGUGGUGUAGCGGUGAAAUGCAUAGAUAUCACGAGGAACCCCGAUUGCGAAGGCAGCCUGCCGGGGUGCGACUGACGCUGAGGCUCGAAGGUGCGGGUAUCAAACAGGAUUAGAUACCCCAGUAGUC
rnacentral:rRNA from 1 species